UAAUACGUAGGGUGCAAGCGUUGUCCGGAAUUAUUGGGCGUAAAGAGCUCGUAGGCGGUUUGUUGCGUCGGCUGUGAAAUCCCGAGGCUCAACCUCGGGUCUGCAGUCGAUACGAGCAAACUAGAGUGUUGCAGGGGAGACUGGAAUUCCUGGUGUAGCGGUGAAAUGCGCAGAUAUCAGGAGGAACACCGGUGGCGAAGGCGGGUCUCUGGGCAACAACUGACGCUGAGGAGCGAAAGCGUGGGGAGCGAACAGG
rnacentral:rRNA from 1 species